UUUUUUUUUUUUUUUUUGUCUUUUAGGGCCAGAUCUGCAGCACAUGGAAGUUCCCAGGCUAAGGGUCCAAUCAGGGCUAUAGCCUUCAGCCUAUGCCACAGCCACAGCAACGCCAGUAACCCACAUCUGCAACCUAUACUGCAGCUCACAGCAACACCGGUAACCCACUGAGUGAGGCCAGGGAUUGAACCUGCAUCCUCAUGGAUACUAGUCAGAUUCAUUUCUGCUGAGCCACGACGGGAACUCCUCUUUCUUCCUUUUGUGGCCACACGGUAUAUGGAAGUUCCAGGGCCAGGGAUCGAAUUCAAGCUGCAGCUAUGACCUGUGCCACAGCUGCAGCAGCACUAUAUCCUUAACCCACUGCCACAGUGGGAACUCCCUAUAUUCUUCUUUCUUGUUCUCCCUGCCCUAAUUUUUUGUCCCCUCCCUCCUCUGAUUGUUUUCUUUUUCUAUCAUUUUUCCAUCUUUCUUUCUUUCUUUCUUUUUCCUUCUUUCUUUCUUUCUUUCUUUCUUCCUUUUCUUUUUUGUCUUUUUGUCCUUUUAGGGCUGUACCUGCAGCAUAUGGAGAUUCCCAGGCUAGGAGUCUUAUCAAAGCUACAGCUGCUGGCCUACGCCAGAGCCAUAGCAACACCAGAUCUGAGCCGCAUCUGCAAGCUACACCAUAGCUCAUGGCAAUGCCAAAUCCUUAACCCACUAAGCAAGGCCAGGGAUUGAACCCACAACCUCAUGGUUCCUAGUGAGAUUCGUUUCCACUGUGCCAUGACAGGAACUCCCAUUUUCCAUCUUUCUACGCCUCCUUCCUGCUCUUGCACCUCCCCCUUUUUCUCCCUUUCUCUCUCCUUCCCUUUUCUCCCCUCCAUUUUCAUUCUUUUCCAUGUUUUCACUUUAGCCCAGCAGCCCACGUGGGCAAGGCUUUCGCUCACUGGUGGUAUUGAGGCUCAAGUGGUUAAAAAACAAAAAAAUGAGUUAAUCAUUAAGUAAGCAUUUGCCAUUACAAAAUCCCCCCCACUCUCACCCCCCCGCCACAAUGAAGUCUGGAGGUUGGGAGACUUAAUCCCCUCUUCACAUGACCACAUCACAUUCCUCCCACGGCAUUGUUGCCAGGAAAAAAAAAAGAAAGAAAGAAAGAAAGAUUGAUGGGUAAGGAAGUCAAUGUGAAAUAGAACGGGGUCUCCAUUUUACAAAACAAACAUUUUGGAACUCUCAACGCACUCAGGAUAUGCCAAACCCCACUCGAGCCUUGCUUGAGUAAUUGAGCAGGAGCUCCUGGAAAGGUAGUAAUUCUGGGAGAACCAGCAGAUAGAGAGGGGGCAUGUCAGAAAUUCAAGAGUGAUUAAGAAGAUGAAGGUCUGAAGUGUGGCAAGCCUGACCACAUGGCUACUGGGAUUUUUUUAACCACAUAGUGUAGCAGGUUCCUGAGGUAGGAAGAGGGAGACUCCCAUACAAAACUCCGCAUCUGCUGCUGGGCCUCCAAUCCUCAACUCUAAGGCAGGGAUGUGGGAUUGGCUUCUCUCUGAGAUCCUUUUCCAUGUUCUGUGAUUGCAUGAUGGUUCAUCUACAUGGUCAGUCCUAAUUGAAAUAAUGCAUAGGUGUGUGGAGCUGAUCUUUGACUCUUUGCCCAGCAUCGUCCCCGGUUCUAUCCAGCACGCCAACAUUCUUACUCUUCGAGAGCUUGUCUAGGUCAUUAAAAAAAUAAAUAAAACAAGGUAGGAAUCUUGAAUGAUUUUUUUUAAAAUGAGUUUUAAGUCAGCAUCGAAGAAAAAUAAAAGAGGAGUUCCCACUGUGGCUCAAUGGGAUCAGUGUCAUCUCUGCAGCGCUGGGAUGCACGUUUGACCCCUGGCCUGGCACAGUGGGUUAAGGACUCUGAGUUGCCACAGCUGCGAUUUAGGUCACAACUGUGGCUCUGAUCUGAUUCCUGGCCUGGAAACUCCACAUGCCGAGGGAGACAAAAGAAAAGAGGAAAAGAUAGAAAGAGAAAAGAAGUUUGAGAAGAGAGGAAAAGACAGCAGUAUUCACCUUCCAACUGAAUGGGUGGGAGCACAGGUAAUUGCUUCCCAGUAAAGAUGAGACGGGGGAGUUCCCUUCAUGGUGCAGCGGAAAUGACUCCAACUAGGAACGAUGAGGUUGCGGGUUUGAUCCCUGGCCUUGCUCAGUGGGUUAAGGAUCUGGCCUUGCCGUGAGCUGUGGUGUAGGUUGCAGACGCAGCUCGGAUCCUGCAUUGCUAUGGCUGUUGUGUAGGGUGGCGGCUACAGCUCCAAUUCAACCCCUAGCCUGGGAACGUCCAUGUGCCGUGAAUGCAGCCCUAAAAAAAGGUUUUAGAAAAAGAAAAAAAAAAAGAUUUGUUUGUUUAAUGAGCAUGUACCAUGGUACAGGAUGACAGAAUCUCUUUGGCUGGUUGGGGAGGAGGCUGAGAGCCUUACAGGGUAAUAGAGUUGUCAGGAAUAAUGUAAAAACAAAAAUCAUACAUUUUUUUUUAAAUCAGGCUUUGAGGAUGCUUAGGACCCUGAGGAACUUGGGGGAAUUUUGCUAGGUGGUCCCAGGAGUUACAGGAGCUGAGGUGGAUGUGCCCAGAACCCUCCACUGCAGGUCUUGAGAUGGGUGGCUGAAAUCACAGUUCU
rnacentral:lncRNA from 1 species